GAGAUAAACAGUAAAAGACAACAAAGAGAACUUUGGGUAAGGCUGCAUUCCCCCUUUUGCACUCUCUAGGUAAGUGAGAAGAUUUUUUUGGACAGUUUAACCAGAAAAAAAGACAGCGGAAAGACCGAGGUUGGAAAAAAAAAAACGACAGAAGAUGAUAUAGACACAUUUGAAGGGUCGUGGGGAACCUGGAGCCUAUCCCAGGGAGCAUCGGGCUCAAGGCGGGGUACACCCUGGACAGGGUGCCAAACCAUCGCAGAGACCAGAGUAUCCGGAGGAAACCCCCGCAGCACGGGGAGAAAAUGCAAACUCCACACACACAGGGCCACGAUGGGAAUCGGACCCCCGACCCUGAGGCGAACGGGCGAACGUACUAACCACUAAGCCACCGUGCGCCCCCUCUGAUAGUAGUUCCUGCUGUAAUUACAAUGAUGGUUUAUGUGGAAGGUGAUCAUCAUUUAACUGUAAACAUUGACAGGUUGUUAAAAGAAAAACAGUUGAUAUGGUGAGGUUUAUUUACUGGGGCGGCUGUGGAUCAGGUGAUAGAGAGGGUUGUCCACUAACCGUAGGGAUGGUGGUCCGAUUCCCGGUCUACGUGACUCCUCAUACCAAAGCGUCCUUGGGUGAGACACUGAACCCCAAGUCGCUCCCGAUGCCAAGUUAGCACCUUGCAUGGCAGCUCUGCGACCAUUGGUGUGAGUGUGAAUGGGAGAAUGAGACACAGUGUAAAGCGCUUUGGAUAAAAGCGCUAUAUAAGUGCAGACCAUUUAUUUAACGUUUAAUAAAUUACGAGUCUACAGUGGCAGCACUUUGUACCAGUACAUUUUCUUCCAUGGGAAAAUCUGCACAAGAGGGGGGGUUUAUGCUUUUGUGGCUUCUCAGUAACAUGACAAGCUGAUUUUUUUUUUUUUUCCAUCGUAUUAUCUUCAAGAGAAGCUGGUGAGGGGACAACUAUUUAUAGUUGUUUUAAUAACGCAACUGAAACAGGAACUAGCUUGUUUUGCAGACAAUACACAGCACUGAAUGUACUGUAACUAUGGAUUAAUAAAAGUUCUUCGCUGGUACAUUUUAAAAAAUUGCAAUAGUUGAUAAAUCACUGUGGUACAAGAAGAAUAAAACACG
ensembl:lncRNA